GACGAACGCUGGCGGCGUGCUUAACACAUGCAAGUCGAGCGGUAAGGCCCUUUCGGGGGUACGACGAGCGGCGAACGGGUGAGUAACGCGUGGGUGACCUGCCCUCAGCUCUGGGAUAAGCCUGGGAAACCGGGUCUAAUACUGGAUAUGACUCCAUGACGCAUGUUGUGGGGUGGAAAGCCUUGUGCGGCUGAGGAUGGGCCCGCGGCCUAUCAGCUUGUUGGUGGGGUGANGGCCUACCAAGGCGACGACGGGUAGCCGGCCUGAGAGGGCGACCGGCCACACUGGGACUGAGACACGGCCCAGACUCCUACGGGAGGCAGCAGUGGGGAAUCUUGCGCAAUGGGCGAAAGCCUGACGCAGCGACGCCGCGUGAGGGAUGACGGCCU
rnacentral:rRNA from 1 species